rnacentral:rRNA from 1 species
AUGAACGCUGGCGGCGUGCCUAAUACAUGCAAGUCGAGCGAACGGACGAGAAGCUUGCUUCUCUGAUGCUAGCGGCGGACGGGUGAGUAACACGUGGAUAACCUACCUAUAAGACUGGGAUAACUUCGGGAAACCGGAGCUAAUACCGGAUAAUAUUUUGAACCGCAUGGUUCAAAAGUGAAAGACGGUCUUGCUGUCACUUAUAGAUGGAUCCGCGCUGCAUUAGCUAGUUGGUAAGGUAACGGCUUACCAAGGCAACGAUGCAUAGCCGACCUGAGAGGGUGAUCGGCCACACUGGAACUGAGACACGGUCCAGACUCCUACGGGAGGCAGCAGUAGGGAAUCUUCCGCAAUGGGCGAAAGCCUGACGGAGCAACGCCGCGUGAGUGAUGAAGGUCUUCGGAUCGUAAAACUCUGUUAUUAGGGAAGAACAUAUGUGUAAGUAACUGUGCACAUCUUGACGGUACCUAAUCAGAAAGCCACGGCUAACUACGUG